UUCCGGUUGAUCCUGCCGGACCCGACUGCUAUCAGAGUGGGACUAAGCCAUGCGAGUCAACAUAGCAAUAUGUGGCAUACGGCUCAGUAACACGUAGUCAACAUGCCCAGGGGACGUGGAUAACCUCGGGAAACUGAGGAUAAACCGCGAUAAGUCACUACUUCUGGAAUGGGUAAUGACUCAAACCUAUAUGGCCCCUGGAUUGGACUGCGGCCGAUCAGGCUGUUGGUGAGGUAAUGGCCCACCAAACCUGUAACCGGUACGGGCUCUGAGAGGAGGAGCCCGAAGAUGGGCACUGAGACAAGGGCCCAGGCCCUAUGGGGCGCAGCAUGCGCGAAACCUCUGCAAUAGGCGAAAGCUUGACAGGGUUACUCUGAGUGAUUUCCGUUAAGGAGAUCUUUUGGCACCUCUAAAAAU
rnacentral:rRNA from 1 species